UACGUAGGGUGCAAGCGUUGUCCGGAAUUAUUGGGCGUAAAGAGCUCGUAGGCGGUCUGUCGCGUCGGCUGUGAAAUCCCGGAGCUCAACUCCGGGUCUGCAGUCGAUACGGGCAAACUGGAGUACUGCAGGGGAGACUGGAAUUCCCGGUGUAGCGGUGAAAUGCGCAGAUAUCGGGAAGAACACCCGUGGCGAAGGCGGCACUCUGGGACGGUACUGACGCUGAGACGCGAAAGCGUGGGGAGCGAACAGG
rnacentral:rRNA from 1 species